CAGCGUGUGGCUCAAACAGUCAGAGCACCCGGCUUCGGUCCGGGAGGGUGCGGGGGCAGGUCCCGCCACGCUGGC
rnacentral:tRNA from 1 species